GUGCCAGCCGCCGCGGUAAUACCGGCAGCCCAAGUGAUGGCCGAUUUUAUUGGGCCUAAAGCGUCCGUAGCUGGCCGCACAAGUCCAUCGGGAAAUCCACCCGCUCAACGGGUGGACGUCCGGUGGAAACUGUGUGGCUUGGGACCGGAAGGCGCGACGGGUACGUCCGGGGUAGGAGUGAAAUCCCGUAAUCCUGGACGGACCGCCGAUGGCGAAAGCACGUCGCGAGAACGGAUCCGACAGUGAGGGACGAAAGCUAGGGUCUCGAACCGGAUUAGAAACCCCUGUAGUCC
rnacentral:rRNA from 1 species